rnacentral:rRNA from 1 species
CGCCUUGCCAGCCCGCUCAGAAACUUAAAGGAAUUGACGGGGCCGCACAAGCGGAGGAGCAUGUGGUUAAUUCGAUGAUACGCGAGGAACCUUACCUGGGCUCGAACGUAAGAUGACUGUAGGUGAAAGCUUACAUCUCUUCGGAGCAUUUUACGAGGUGCUGCAUGGUUGUCGUCAGCUCGUGCCGUGAGGUGUCGGGUUAAGUCCCAUAACGAGCGCAACCCCUACCUUUAGUUGCCAUCAGGUUAAGCUGGGGACUCUAAAGGAACUGCCUACGCAAGUAGUGAGGAAGCGGGGAUGACGUCAAAUCAGCACGGCCCUUACGUCCAGGGCUACACACGUGCUACAAUGGCCGAUACAGAGGGCAGCUACCUGGUGACAGGAUGCAAAUCUCCAAAGUCGGUCUCAGUUCGGAUCGGAGUCUGCAACCCGACUCCGUGAAGUUGGAUUCGCUAGUAAUCGCGCAUCAGCCAUGGCGCGGUGAAUACGUUCCCGGGCCUU